GACGAACGCUGGCGGCGUGCUUAACACAUGCAAGUCGAACGGAAAGGCCCUGCUUGCAGGGUACUCGAGUGGCGAACGGGUGAGUAACACGUGGGUGAUCUGCCCUGCACUUCGGGAUAAGCCUGGGAAACUGGGUCUAAUACCGGAUAGGAGCCAUUUUUAGUGUGAUGGUUGGAAAGUUUUUUCGGUGUAGGAUGAGCUCGCGGCCUAUCAGCUUGUUGGUGGGGUAAUGGCCUACCAAGGCGGCGACGGGUAGCCGGCCUGAGAGGGUGGACGGCCACAUUGGGACUGAGAGACGGCCCAGACGCCUACGGGAGGAAGCAGUGGGGAAUAUUGCACAAUGGGCGCAAGCCUGAUGCAGCGACGCCGCGUGGGGGAUGACGGCCUUCGGGUUGUAAACUCCUUUCGCUAGGGACGAAGCUUUUUGUGACGGUACCUAGAUAAGAAGCACCGGCUAACUACGUG
rnacentral:rRNA from 1 species